GACGAACGCCGGCGGCGUGCUUAACACAUGCAAGUCGAACGGAGAUUCAGCAAUGGAUCUUAGUGGCGAACGGAUGAGUAACGCGUAGGCAAUCUGCCUUCUAGAUGGGGACAACAUCCCGAAAGGGGUGCUAAUACCGAAUGUUGUAUGAUCUUCGCAUGGAGAUGAUACUAAAGGUGGCCUCUGAAUAUGCUACCGCUAGAAGAUGAGCCUGCGUCUGAUUAGCUAGUUGGAGGGGUAACGGCCCACCAAGGCUUCGAUCAGUAGCCGGUCUGAGAGGAUGAACGGCCAUACUGGGACUGAGACACGGCCCAGACUCCUACGGGAGGCAGCAGUGGGGAAUCUUCCGCAAUGGACGAAAGUCUGACGGAGCAACGCCGCGUGAGUGAAGAAGGUUUUCGGAUCGUAAAGCUCUUUCGUUAGGGACGAACGUGCUCUUUGUGAAUAAUGAGGAGUAAUGACGGUACCUAAAUAAGAAGCCACGGCUAACUACGUGCCAGCCGCCGCAGUAACAC
rnacentral:rRNA from 1 species